rnacentral:rRNA from 1 species
AACGAACGCUGGCGGCAUGCCUAACACAUGCGAGUCGAACGAGACCUUCGGGUCUAGUGGCGCACGGGUGCGUAACGCGUGGGAACCUGCCCUUAGGUUCGGAAUAACUCCCCGAAAGGGGUGCUAAUACCGGAUAAUGUCUUCGGACCAAAGAUUUAUCGCCUUUGGAUGGGCCCGCGUUGGAUUAGCUAGUUGGUAGGGUAAAAGCCUACCAAGGCGACGAUCCAUAGCUGGUCUGAGAGGAUGAUCAGCCACACUGGGACUGAGACACGGCCCAGACUCCUACGGGAGGCAGCAGUGGGGAAUAUUGGACAAUGGGCGAAAGCCUGAUCCAGCAAUGCCGCGUGAGUGAUGAAGGCCUUAGGGUUGUAAAGCUCUUUUACCCGGGAUGAUAAUGACAGUACCGGGAGAAUAAGCUCUGGCUAACUCCGUG